rnacentral:rRNA from 1 species
GACGAACGCUGGCGGCGUGCUUAACACAUGCAAGUCGAACGAAGUGGCGAACGGGUGAGUAACGCGUAAUCAACCUGCCCUUCAGAGGGGGACAACAGUGGGAACCGACUGCUAAAACCGCAUACGGAAGGAGGGGAUUGCGGCGGAUUAGCUAGUUGGAGGGGUAACGGCCCACCAAGGCGAUGAGCAGUAGCCUGUCUGGGAGGAUGAACGGCCACAUUGGGACUGGGACACGGCCCAGACUCCUACGGGAGGCAGCAGUGGGGAAUCUUCCGCAAUGGACGAAAGUCUGACGGAGCAACGCCGCGUGAGUGAUGACGGCCUUCGGGUUGUAAAGCUCUUUUAAUCGGGACGCGGUACCGGAAUAGAAAGCCACGGCUAACUCCGUGCCAGCAGCCGCGGUAAUUC